CGCUACUGCUGCCGCCGUGUUCGGGUGUAGAAUUUGGAAUCCCUGCGUCUCGUUAACAAUGAAGCAGAGUUCGAACGUGCCUGCUUUCCUCAGCAAGCUGUGGACGCUUGUGGAGGAAACCCACACCAACGAGUUCAUCACCUGGAGCCAGAAUGGCCAGAGUUUUCUGGUUUUGGAUGAACAAAGAUUUGCAAAAGAAAUUCUUCCCAAAUAUUUCAAGCACAAUAAUAUGGCAAGCUUUGUGAGGCAACUGAAUAUGUAUGGUUUCCGUAAGGUUGUGCAUAUUGACUCUGGAAUUGUAAAGCAGGAACGAGAUGGUCCUGUUGAAUUUCAGCAUCCUUACUUCAAACAAGGCCAGGAUGACUUGUUGGAAAACAUUAAAAGGAAGGUUUCUUCUUCAAAACCAGAAGAAAAUAAGAUUCGUCAGGAAGAUUUAACAAAAAUUAUAAGUAGUGCUCAGAAGGUUCAAAUAAAACAAGAAACUAUUGAGUCCAGGCUUUCUGAAUUAAAAAGUGAGAAUGAGUCCCUUUGGAAGGAGGUGUCAGAAUUACGAGCAAAACAUGCACAACAGCAACAAGUUAUUCAAAAGAUUGUCCAGUUUAUUGUUACGUUGGUUCAGAAUAACCAGCUUGUGAGUUUAAAACGUAAAAGGCCUCUACUUCUCAACACUAAUGGAGCCCAAAAGAAGAAUCUGUUUCAGCAUAUAGUCAAAGAACCAGCUGAUAAUCACCAUCAUAAAGUUCCACACAGUAGGACUGAAGGUUUGAAGGCAAGGGAGCGGAUUUCAGAUGACAUCAUUAUUUAUGAUGUAACUGAUGAUAAUGCAGAUGAAGAAAAUAUCCCAGUUAUUCCAGAAACUAAUGAGGACGUUAUAGCUGAUCCUUCCAACUAUAGCCAAUACCCUGAUAUUGUCAUUGUUGAGGAUGACAAUGAAGAUGAGUAUGCACCUGUCAUUCAGAGUGGAGAUCAGAAUGAACCAGCCAGAGAAUCACUAAGUUCAGGCAGUGAUGGCACCAGUCCUCUUAUGUCUAGUGCUGUCCAGCUAAAUGGCUCAUCUAGUCUGACCACAGAAGAUCCUGUGACCAUGAUGGAUUCCAUUUUAAAUGAUAACAUCAAUCUUCUGGGAAAGGUUGAGCUGUUGGAUUAUCUUGACAGCAUUGAUUGCAGCUUAGAGGACUUCCAAGCCAUGCUGUCAGGAAGACAGUUUAGCAUAGAUCCAGAUCUCCUGGUUGAUUCUGAGAAUAAAGGAUUAGAAACUACCAAGAACAAUGUAGUUCAGCCAGUUUCAGAAGAGGGAAGAAAAUCUAAACCCAAAACAGAUAAGCAGCUUAUCCAGUACACUGCCUUUCCACUUCUUGCAUUCCUCAAUGGGAACCCUGCUUCUACUGUUGAACAGGGGAGUACAGCAUCAUCAGAAGUUAUGUCCUCAGUAGAUAAACCCAUAGAAGUUGAUGAGCUUCUGGAUAGCAGCCUAGAUCCAGAGCCAACCCAGAGUAAGCUUGUUCGCCUGGAGCCAUUGACUGAAGCCGAAGCUAGUGAAGCCACACUGUUUUAUUUAUGUGAACUUGCUCCUGCACCUCUGGAUAGUGAUAUGCCACUUUUAGAUAGCUAAAUCCCCAGGAAGUGGACUCUACAUGUAUAUAUUCAUCAAAAUGAUGAACUAUUUAUUUUAAAGUAUCAUUUGGUACUUUUUUUUGUAAAUUGCUUUGUUUUGUUUAAUCAGAUACUGUGGAAUCAAAAGCACCUUUUGCUUUUCUCACUUACACACUCUGGCAAAGCUUUCAGAUGUUACUCAGCUACAUAGGUACACAAGAUUUAAUGCACAUUGUUGGCAUAUCUUUAAGUUGGAUUCAAAUGGCCAUUUUUCUCCAGUUGUAGUAACUUGGAUUUCUUCUUUUACGUAUAUGCCCGUUAACCCCAGUUAAACUUUUGUUUGUUUUACUUGUUUGAUGCUGUCUGUUUGCAUUGAGUGUAAGUCACUAGAACUAAUGGUAGAACUCUUAAACUUUUGUCUGUUCCAGUUACUUUUAUUAAAUAUUUUUCACUUGGCUUAUUUUUAAACUGGGAACAUAAAGUGCCUGUAUCUUGUAAAACUUCAUUUGUCUCUCUUGUUCAGAGAAGUUCAUUCAUGUUCAAAGGAAAGGCAAAGUAAACAUGAGUGCUUGCUGGCAGAAAUGGCUCCAGCUCCAUAUAUAUAAAAAGAAGGGGGAUGGGAUGGCAUCAACCCCAUCCAUCUCACUGGACUAGUUUUAAAGUAAAAGUUUUCUGAUUUGUUUGUGUUUUUUUGAACCAUACUAUUUAGUAAAAUAAAUAUAAUGAAUGUUGC